UACGUAGGGCGCAAGCGUUGUCCGGAAUUAUUGGGCGUAAAGAGCUCGUAGGCGGUUUGUCGCGUCUGCUGUGAAAACCUAAGGCUCAACCUUGGGCUUGCAGUGGGUACGGGCAGACUGGAGUGCGGUAGGGGAGAAUGGAAUUCCUGGUGUAGCGGUGGAAUGCGCAGAUAUCAGGAGGAACACCGAUGGCGAAGGCAGUUCUCUGGGCCGUAACUGACGCUGAGGAGCGAAAGCGUGGGGAGCGAACAGG
rnacentral:rRNA from 1 species